UCCUCAGCUGCAGGGAAAGAGAUGGUGACAAGAACAGAGCUGAUCAGAGCAGCAGGUGGGAGACAAGCGGUGCGGUUCAGGGCUGACCCCAGCUCUGUCCUUGCCUUACAAGUGUUGCGUGUGUGCGGCAGGGAGGAAGCCGACUGUCAAAUGUGCGAGAAACCGGCGGAGAAACGUUCCCCAGUGCAUCCCGCUGCGAUUCUGCAAUGCAACUUGUGCCAGUGUAGGCGAGGUGGUGUAGAAUAGGUAACACAGCACGGUGUAGGAAUGUGAUAGCAAAAAAUGCCUGACUCUGGCUCUGGUGAGUUUUGUGGGGUUUUUUUGUCCAGCUGUCCCUUGGCUGGGGUUUUGGGCAUAGCUUAAGGGACUUAAAUGCACUUGUGAUAUAUAAAGACCAGAUUUAUAAAGGGUGCAUAAAUGUGUGGGCAGGGAAUGAAUGGCAUACCUUGUUCUUAUUGAAUUUCAGUGGGAAUUAAGCAUCCUAUUGAUCCUCAUUUACAUUUUCAGGCGUCUCAUUACCUUUCUAAGUGACAGUUCGUAUAAGUCCGUUUGCAAACCCCAGCCUAUGCCAUUAGAUACAGUCAGGAGGAUUUUGCUUUGUGGUACUCAGUCUUAACUUUCAGCCCAAGGAGCUGGGUCUAUGUUUGCUCUGGCAGGUUAAAAACCCCUUGGAACUGCUAUGGGGGACAGGCAAGCAGAACAUGCUGGUCAAAUGACCAGACAUUGCUGCGUGUUUUUCUCUUAUUCUGAUUUUCCAGCGUGUCCCCCGAGGUCAGCAAGCCAAGCCUGACUCACGGGUGGGCUGCCCCGCUACAGAACAAUGUAGACGUGCGGCAAGAGAUUAGCGAACAAAAGCUUAGGAGUGUCUCCGUUCAAAUUAAGUAACAGAUGGACCUGGUCUGUGUGGGAGCUGAUAACGGUUAUAAAAAGGCCAUCACCAGACUGUGGCCAGCCCACCCUGGAAAAAACCCACUCAGUCAUAAAUCCUCUGUGCCGUUAUAGCUGCUUGUGCUAGUAAAGCUUUAUUUUUUCCAGCUAUCAUGAAACAGCAUGACUUAUUUUAGAUGCAUGGCUUGCACCGCUCAGUUAAAAGGGUGCCAGCUCUCUGAUAGACACCUACAAACAGAGGAGAUGUGCCCGCCCGGGCAGGGAACAUGAAGCAUAAUUAACCUAGAGAAGGCAAAUGGAACAUUACAGAGCAGUGUCUGGCGUUCCCCACAGUUCUGGCUUUUGCAUUUCUCCUCUCUUAGGUAACUGGCUGAUGGCAUCGCCUCUUCUGAAAUGCUGAUCACACGGGAGCCUCUGGUGCUCUCAGCAGGACCAGGACCCCCAGGAUAAAGUUGUGUAGAAGAUCAGGGACUAUUUGCGUUCAUCUGAAGAUGAGAGAAUUUCGGAUUUUGCUCUUAAUUCACUCUCUUCCUGCUCACCACUAGAGAACACAAGGAGAUGUCUGCGAACAGAGUAGGGAACCGUAGGUGUUGCCUGGUGAAGACCACACCGUGCUUUCUGAUGCUUUCCCAAAGUUUGGUUUCGUCAUGUUGCGGUGCAGCUGCAGACACGCUGCCUCAAAUAUCCAUCUGACAAGGGCUUCUGGAGCCUAUAGCUUGACCAGCAAAACACAGAUCUGAAGUUCUGCUUAUCAGAGACCAUCCAUGUCAUCUUCCUGUGGAAAAUGGGAGUUGGGAAGAGCAGUCGUUAUCAGAGCCAAGACUGAGAACAAGGCUGGAGAAGGGAACGGGAGAGAGCGUGAGCAAGCACACAGAGAAAUUACUUAUGACAAGACUGAAAACAUCUCUCUUUUUAAGAGGGUUUUUUCCAAUUUCACACUAUCAUUUUUGUCUUUUUUUGCGUGUAUAAUUCUGGCCUCGGGUAUAAAGCACAAUUGUCUGGCUAAUGCGUUGUACAAAACAUGUACAAAUGAACAUGGCAAGAGACUGACUGCAAGCACAGAGGGAACGUUCACAUCUGCCUAUGAGCGUGCGACCAGGAGCCUGUGGAACCACUGCCGUCAUUCCACAGAGGUGGGGCCGUCUUCUGUAAGGCAGCUUUGAAGCUUUGCAGUGAAUCCGUCAGAACAAAGGACACAGAUCUACAAGGGGAAAAGGCAUCGGGUAGAAAGCUGUGGGAGCCACGUGCAGGCCUGAAGACGUGCGAGUCGGGGGAAUAAUGUUCUAGGGGCAGCCCUGAAUCACGCAAACAGAUCUGAAAAGACUCACCUUGUUAACAUCAGCCUGAGCGUAGGCUGCAAACCUGCGGAGGGAGUUGCGCCGCAGGGUGCAGUAGAGCUUAUUUUCUUAGGGAGUACAUCGGGAAUUAAAGGGAGCCCAAGUGAAGUCACAGACAGAUAAAGAUGAGAAGCUUGACAAAGAGCACUAUUAGGAAUGUGCUGGAAUAGAUGAGGAGGGGAAGAGGGAGGAAAGUAAUGCCACGUCAGAGCAAAGAGGAAGGACAAAGGCCAUUUUGGCUUGUCCCAGCUUGUUUAAUUAGAGCAGAAACAUCUUGGCAUGGAGGGGUUAAAAGAUUACUUGUCCUGGGAGAGCUGAAUUAGCCACAUAUCUGGGAACUAACUUCUCCCAGACCCUGACUUGUUUUUCUCCUUAAACAUCUCACUGCUGCUAUUUUUAGCAGAGAAUUUUCUCAGGCGAAUGCUCCCAGUUCAGUCCUGGUCAGAGGCUCUUUUCCCAGAGAGACACGGGCCCAGCAGCAGGAGGGUUCCUGCUCAGCAUGGGGGAUCAUUCCUGCCCAUGUGCUGGGCCCCAGUUCAGCUCCAGCUCAGUUUCAUUGUCAGUCCCCACACCAGUGUGGCACAGGUGCUCUCGCAGACCACAAACCCAGAGGAGGCUGCAAUCUGGUCUGCAAUUUCAGAAGCAGCUGAGGAAGAGGGUGGACUGGACUUUGAUAACCGUCUGCAGGCUUCUCAGAAAGCAUGAAUGGCAAAAAAGGUGGGAAGGAGAUAGAAAGAAAUGAUUAGGCUGACAUUAAUAACAGGAUCUGCUUCUCAGCACUAAAAUCUAUUUGGAUUCAUUCCAGUUCCUCCAAGGGAAACCGUGGAAGCCUUUAUUGUUCGUUAAAGUUGCAACUAAAAUCAGACUGGAUAAAGCUCAAGGAAAUACCUCUCAGAGGACAACCCUGCUGGAAACUAAUGAGGUAACUCCCUUCCUCUUCUCUGGUUUUCUUGGCGCCCCUAUUACUCCUUAGCCAAAACGCUCACCUGUCCAUCAGUCCAUCCCUCCCUUCCCCUGGCUCCUCGCUGCUCAGCCUCCAGCGCAGGAUGAUCUAUCUGCCUGCUCAGGCUGUCUGCCCGUGUGCAAUUAGCGAUGUGUCAGCGAACGUCUGGGGCGGUUCAGAGGGAAGCGAUGCUCGGAACUUCUUUUAUCUACAGCUUGAUUUAAUGCCUGUCUGCCAGAGAUGGGCAUGUAAAUCAAAGGCCAGAUGAGGGCACAUAGAUGGACAAAUGGAGUAAAAUAGGAAUGAACUCCUGGCUCGUCUGUGCUGAUGUGCAGUUAAAGCUGGGGGACACGGGAGGAUUGAGUGUCCUGGAUCCAGCGCUGGGGAGCAUCGAGCAGCAGCGUUUGCUUGGUCACAGCAGAGCCACAGUCAAGAAGGUCCCUCUAACAAUGGCCCCUUCUUGGUCAGUGUAUCUGUUGCUUGUAUGUCUUGGAGUCACGUCAGUGGAGCAAACAGAUUGGGAACAUAUUUGUACUCCCCACAGCAGUACAGAAGCCAACCCAGGCACAGAAGAGCAAGCUGGGCUCCUUUCUGCUCCUUGCCUCGGUGCCAAGUUUCCAGCUCUGCUUGGAACCUGCGGCCGAGCCCUGCUGUGGCAGGGGUGAAGGGAGAGCACAGGCAGGGUCAGGAAUUACUCUGCUUUCAGCUCGUGCUUGCAGAAGUUGGCAGCUGGCUAAGGGGAGAGGAGCCAGACGGAACUGAACUGCGCACCUCUGAAGCCCCCACGAGAGAUUAAACCUGGCACUGUGUGGCUUUGCCGUUCUCCCCAGCUACGCUUCAAUAAAUGGGGCUGAGAACAGCAGUCACCUGGACAACCCACAGAUGCUGCACCGAGCUCAUCCCAGCAGCAAGAGCUGCCUUCCAAAAGCUUCCCCGAGCCCAGCAGAAAUCCCAGGAGCCCAGGAUUUCUCUCUUGAACCUUCAUUCCAACACAGGGGCACUUAACCUUUGAGGCUCCUGUGAAAAUCCCAGCGACAGCGUUUUACAGAUGAGUAUGUUUCCCCUAACAUCUGCCCCCUGCAUCAGAUGCUGCCAGAGCCUCUCUCUCUGGCUCUGCUCCCAGCUGAAGGACAGACAAUCGGCAUUUGAACGCAGUCUCCGCUUCCCCUCCCAAACAGCCUGGGGGAGAUGGCACAUCAGAGCCAAGACAGCAGCUUGCCAGCCAGCAACAAGUCUCUCUAGAUCCCAUCCUUUCCCUCCCAGUAUCGCUGAACCACUGGCUGCAGUUGUUACUGGGCACACAGGCCAGCUCUGCUGGGCAAAUCCUGGCAGCAUCCAGCCAGCCAAACCGAGGAAGUCUUUUCUCAGCACACCACUGGAGCCAGCCUGAUCCCUCUCCAAAUGCUGCCAAAAUCAACUGACCUCCUGGGUUCCUGACCCUGCCACCAGUCACUGGACCUCUCUGUACCACUCUGCCACACCAGCUCACCUGGAAACACCCUGGUCACCUCUCAGACCUCCCCUUGCUCACUCUCAACAGCAUCAGUCUGCCAUUUAUUUAUCCAGGCAGUGCACACAGAGGACGAGUUCCACCCGCAAGAGGUUCGGUAAGGGUUCAGUGAGAGCUGGCUGGGGUGCUCCUGAAGAACCAUUGUUCCUUCUUUCUAGAAAUAGCUCUGUUCCUCGCAUCCUGGAGCCAUCCAGCCUGCUUGGCACUGUUUCUGCUGCUUUAGAGACAACAACAGAGAGUGAGAAAAACCUGUCUAGACACCGUUUUUACCUUCCAUCGACUCCUGUUGCCACGUCAAAGUGCCACUUCAAACAAACCUGCAAACUGGCCAAGGAACAAUCUCCAGCUCUCCUGUGCCUGCUCCAGCCAGAGGCAGCCAGCCCCAUCCCACCAUGCUUCAGAGUUCAUCUUUAAUCCUGGCCCUUCUGACAACAGGGAGAGAGAUGGGAUGAAAACUCUCAUUACAGGAACAUCAACAGAAGUUACCUGGCCUCAGGCUACUCAACUGAGGGCUAUGUCUUUUCUGCUCGGCAUGCAGGUACAAGCAGAAAUCUUAAAUCGCCUCCCAUUUGUAAUCUGCAAAUAUCCAGCUCCUUUCAAAAGCAGCCCCAUUUGUCCCGUGUGCUCAGACGCUGGAUCUCUCACCUUUCCAAAGCCAUACACAUGAAUCCUGAGCAAGUUUUGCUACCACCCAGAGCUCAAAGAACAUCUUAUGGCACCCAAGGAAAUCAAGGCCACCGAGAGCAGCUUGUCCACCAUGAGGCAGCAAGUCACUAUCAGAGCAGGACAAAGUCACAGGAGCUCAGGUAAAUGCUCAAGGUACCUCUACACCAAGGGGGCAGCAGCAUGAAAGGAGCUGGAGAGGUUUUUAGGUCACUUGAGCCCAAGUCACUUGAUGUCAUUGCUUUGGGGAAGCGCCUGGCACUAGCAUCAAGCACUGGCCCUAUGCAGCCACCACAAGAGCAACAUCUAGCUCAUUAUUUUAAUAAGGGUCCUUUGAAAUACCUUCUGUGUGAGAGACAGCUAAGAAAAUCCAGUCUGGCUUUGUUCUGUCUCAGGCAGAAACAGCCUUUAUUUAGCAAACUGCUGCUAACAGCUCUGUCUCAUUAGUCGGUGUUUAGGGAACCAGGCUGCAAUUGUUCUGAAGUCUGGCAUGGCAGAGUGAGCCUCGGUAAUGAGGUCUGCAGGAGAUGGAUUCCUCCUGACAAGCCCACAAUGACCUAGAAAUCCUACUUAAUUCCCUGUCAGUGGAAAGUGCUGAGUAACAGCGAGGUGCGGAGGCACCGGGGGCUGAUUUGAGGCUGCAGCCUCCGCUCGCGCUUUGGGCUGCGACGCACAAGCCCUCGCCGCUCAGCGCAGGCUCAGGACACAGACACGCUACUUUCAAGUGGUUUAUUUUCAACCAGCAGCGUGUGUAGCGUGGUUAAGAACCUCUGGAUACCUCAGAGCCAGCGAGGCCAGAACAUGAGGCACAGGGACUCAGUUGGAAUGCGGGCUGCGUACAGCUGACCUUGAAGCCCACCCCCCAGUAAAGACCCUCACAGGCAUGUGCUCGCCACCUGUUCCAGCCAGCAGGUGAGGGACUAAACCAGGAAUUCUGGAACUGAAUGCAGAGUCUGUUCAAGAGCGGUCUGAAGACUCGCACCCACGUGAAGCUGUCGCUGAUGUGUGCUCUUACAGAUCUUGGCGGAGGAAUGCAUCUUUGCCCAUCAGGUGCAAGACCGUUACUCCCCUAGUGCAAAUGCAGUCCUGUUUAGAGCACAGCUCAAAUCUGCAAAGGGCUGCUGUAAAAAAAAAGAAAUGUGGAAAUGAAAUCACCAGCCGAAACAGUGUCUAGAGGCAGCUCAAGCCAAGUCCCUCGAAUGUCAGCACCAGAAGGAGAGCUCUGAAAUGGAGAACGAAGCUCACUCUGCACCAGCUCUGCUGGCACAGACAGAGGAUCUGCCUCGGAGACAUGAGGAAAAGACAUAUGCUGGGAAAGGAAGGACCAGCUUUAUUUUACCAGCCUGUGUUCCCACCAGAGAUGUGCUUUAAAGACUGCCUUACAAAGCAGGAAUUAAAUCCAAAGGUGUCUAUGCAUCUUCCUUGCUGUCAUCCCCUUAUCAGUUAUCUCCAGCCUGCUCUGAGCCAGAAGAUGAAAGGAUCGUAACACCACUUAUCUUCCCACUUAAGAACAUGCUUAACAGCUUGCUGCUAAAGAGGAGACCACUCAAGGCUGGAGAAGCAGCUGUAAAUUCUGCAAAUGGGUUCCCUCACAUUUCUUUGAAGGAGCUACUGCUUCUCAAUGAGGAACACAGAUACGAAAAGGAAACCAGGGAUGGAGAAAAGAGGGAGGGCGUUGUGGCAAAGAAAGGCUUUGCCUCCUGUCCAGAAUGUCUCCCACAGAGCUGCUGCCUCUUCUCCCAGUCUCCCCCCUUCACAGAGCUGCUUGUUACCACGCUGAACCUGGGUCCAGCUUGCCUUUGUCAUUUAAUAGCUGAGUCAAACUGUCAAAACAGCCAAACAGGAUCUCGUCCAAAUAUUUGCAGAAAGAGGAGGAGGAUCAAGGAGCCUGCAGCAGAACAGCAGGAGCCUCCCCAGGCGAGGAGAACAAUCAGUUGUUGACCAACAGUGGGGUGAUGGUGGGUGUCAAGAAAAAAAACCCGAAUCCUCUCAUGCUCACCCAGCACCCUGAAAGAACUGGAUUCUGAAGUCCCCUCUGUCCCCUGGCAAAGCCCCAGCGAUCCAGCGCUGUGGAUUUAUCAGCCCUGAUCGCAGCUCAGCUGUUGACUUGGGGAACCCGAGGCAUGGCUGGCAAAUGGGAGAGGGGGGCACCCGACUGCCUUAGAAGCUGCUGCCAGUCCAAACGCAGACUUCAAAGGGUUUAUCUCGCCCCGUUGUGUGGGAGAGCCUGUGGGUGAGGACAGCUGUGUGUUGGCCAGGCCCACCAGAGGGUUUUUGAUGGAAGAAGAAAGGAGUUAGUACCUGGUUUAACCUCCCCUCCGGCACGCACAAGGCAGCUUUGGCAGGCAGGGCUCCGCACUGCCCUGUUAUCUGCAGGACGUUGAAAACUGGCCAAAACAAAGGGAAAACACCAGAUAUAUCGGGAUGCUCACCAACUCAAAUAGCCAGUUGUGCUUGAAGGAGAGCCCAUGAGGCGAUUACAAGGUGCUCUGCCUUUCAUCUCCACUUCAAAGCCAACUCCAUCAGCACUGACCAAGCUGUAGCCAAGUAAUAGCUGCUUGCUCAUGCACAAGGAGAUAAACCAUUCCCUCCUCGCUCCCUGAGAAAUCACACCAGCCCCAUCGAUGUCCACCACGUGCCAUCUCAGCAGAGCAGCCAAGCCCAAAGAGGAACACAAACCAGCACCUCCUCUGCUGCAGGAGCUCCUGGAUCAGCAAAGAGACCUGUGGUGGUUGAAGGCAAGUGCACCCAGUCCUGCCUGCAUGUCACUGGGGGUUGUGUAUUACUCCUUCCACCUCAAUUGUCGGGAUCUAAACACCUUGACAACAACCACCCGCUCUUCAAGGACAGGGGGCUGCCACCAGCUGCCAAGUCAGGGCUGAUCCAGAGGCAAUCGCAGGGAUUUCCCCUUCAAAGAUAUAUUACUGAUGCUCAGGACCUUGCUACUACAGAGCAGAUGUUUUCCAGGCUCUAAAAAUAACUAACUGUAAACAACAAGGUGGGUACAAAGAAAUAUUUCUCUUUGGGCUUUUGCAGAGAUCAAUGCAGGAGAAAAAGAUUAAAGCAAAGAUUGAAGUGUGUAUUAAAAAUAGCUGUUGAUAACAUCCUUUGAGAGGAUAAAAGCUGUUUUACAGAAGCAGCAAGAGCUGCAGGACUUUGCAACACCUUCCCUGCCGUUAACUGUGUGAGCUCCCGGAAAUCAUUCAAGAGAGUGUUGGCAGCCAGAGGCCCCGGGAGGAAUUCCAUGAGCAGGCAGCAAUCUCCUUAAUGGAUCCUCGGGGUGCGUGGUAGACGCUGCCUGGCCUCUGGACACUCGGUUCUUUCCACUGCUGUGAUUCAAGGGCCGCUCACGCAGCCAUUAUCAUCCAAUACUCUAAGGAACGCUCCGCAUCUUUAUGGCAACCCAGUAGCGCGGUGAAUUAGCCUUUUGGGUAGCUUUCAUUGAGUGAGGACACAAAUGGGUAUAGCGAGUUGUUUCUUACUCUGUUUCUUUUUGGCAGCACCUGGCAAAGACAGACACUGAUCCAUGAACAGAAGCCGCACGUGCUACAUCAUGCAGGUAAAAGCAGUAACAUCUAUCAAGGCUUCUGCUUUCCAAGGAUAGCAUCCUAGCAAAACAAAAAUAUUGUCUCCAUGGCUGAUAUUGGCCUAGACCAAGCAGAACCUUGUAUUAAAUGUGCAGACUAAAUCAUUAAGCUGAUUCCAUUCGAGCAGGUCUGAGAGCAGCGGCCACCCCAGAGAGAUGGGAAGUGGCAGGAACCUUUCCAUGGGGAAUUAAAAGCAGGACUGUUGUGCAGAGCACUGUUAAAAGGUGAGGCUGCUUUCUCUGAACAGCUCUCCCUCAUGCCGUUGUUUGUCAGUCUUAUUCUUAUUGCUAACGAAACAAAAAUUCUGACUUGCUUUGGAUAUGUAGAAUAUUAUGGGCUCCUUCAGGUGGUUAAACAUCUUGAGACACACUGGACAAGACUCCAAAAUGGUGAGUGAAUUAGGGGCACAGGGAAGUCGGAUGCUUUCAAUGGACCUCAGUUCUCACAAGUAUUAUAAUUCCACCCUCCAAAAUAGUCUAAAACAAAGUGUCUCAAUUUACAUCCCGCCUGUAAAACGCUGGCCACUUAGAUAAGGAAUCGCCCCGAACUUUAUUAAGGCGGCGAUUUUCAGAAGACGCCCUGGGGCAUUAGAAACAGCCUAGUAAUGGGCACAAAUCCCCUUAGAUUUCAGUGGAUUUCUCCAGCUCAGCAGAAAAUCUUACCCAGGCCACCAAAAUCUAUUUUUAAUAGUGCGAUUAAAAAUCCUGCAAUAUUGAACACUCUCAACUGCUGCCUUCUAGCCACUGCCAAAGACACAGCAAUUCCUUGGCAUGUUGCAGUUUCAAAGCUCAGUGUCUUCCAACAAGCCAGCUGUGCCCAAAUGAAUUAAGAGGACCCUUAAAAACCCGCUGAUCUUACAUUUGCAUUGUAAUAAUCAGGUACAUUGACGGGAGUAGGUUAGAGUGUGUGUUCUGGCUUUAUAACUCUGGAAUCCCUGGGAUUUAUGACUUUAGAACAAAACGAAAGGGAAAGAAAACCUUGAGCAUUAUCUGAACACAAUUUAAUUUCAUCUACUUUAUCUAUCGCUGCACUGAAACCUUCAUUUCCCCUUGUAACUGACUCUGCUUAAGCCCUGUGCUCCAUCCCACGAGGGACACUACAUAACCCAAUACAUUAUAUUAUUUAUACUGACAAGUGAUUCUUGCAUGACAGAACAAUUCCCAUUUAUGUUUUGAGCUUAUCUCAAGUACCUGUGGGCUGUCAGGUUGCAGCAUGUACGUGGCUGGUUGUUCUUUUUAAUUAGUUAAUGCUGACCGGACUCCCAUCUGAUGGCUCUCGGCAGUCUGGGUUCAUGGGAAUCCUGCCCAACCGUGCUCUCAGGAGCCAGGGACAUUGCAGAUGUGGGUUUGUGGGGUUUUUUUGCUGACUCCCAUUUAUAAAUUUUUGCUUCUGAAUCUGCUGGUUUUAUCUCUACUAGUUGCCUGGUUGGGAACACGCACCAAAAGCACCUUCAACACCCAACACUGCAGAGAAAAAGCUUUGGCAAGACCUUCAAGAACAGCCCUUCUAGACCUCGUUCCUUGCAUAUUAGUGCUUUUUCUAAGGGCUUGGAAGGCCUGGCUUAGGAUGCUGCUCUGACACGAACUGCCCACCAGCUCAGUCACGCAGCUGUCUUGGGUUUGCGCUCCCAAGCCGUGUGUGAGACAGCUGAACGUGUGCACAGGACUCACACAAAGCUUUCUUACAGCACCCAACGCGGCCAGGCACUCAAAGCUGGCGACCGCCAAAGAAGAAGCGAUAACAGAACCUCAGAACCCCAUUCUUGGGCAGAAAACAUCUUUAUAUACCUCCCUCCACCCUUCUUCCCAAGGGAAGCCUCCCUGACCUCCACUUAUCUCAAAUGAGAAGCAGGAGUUUGUUAUCCGGGGGACUGGUGAAGUCCAUGCAGCACCUUGCUCUCUUGUUCCCCACAGAUGUGGUAAGUCCCUAAAAAAGAACAAAACUCUCCCAACAAUACCUCUAAUCUCAAGUUAAUACUGAGGGUGUUAGCACUUGGAAGAGUCAUAACCAGAGACCUGAGCUUUCAGGCCAAAAAAAGUCCAGUCGUUAUGUUAUUGUUUGUUUUUCUGAAACUGAAAAGCCUCAUUUGCAGCAUGGGAGUCUGAGAACUACAACCCAGCAGGUAUUUCCUCUGCCCCAGGCACAGCUGUUGACAGAACUGGACCCAACCAGCAAUCCAGCCCUUUUGGGUGACAAUUAAGACUGUGUCCAGAACAUUCAUUAGUGCAAUUAAAGCCAUUAACUGGUUCUUAGGCCACGUCCUGACUCAGUGAAGGGAUGGGUUUUGUUACUCCUCCCCUGCAUGGUCAAAUUUGGUUUUGAUCCCGUGUCUCAUAAAAAUAUGAUACUCCCUAGGGGUUCAGAGGGAAGGCAAACAGCCCUUAUCAACUGGGGGAAGAUGGUGCAGUUCAUAUUCCAGUUGAUAGAGAAGCCAGAUUGAGAAUGUAAUUAUCCUAAUUAAUUUUAUAUCUUGAAUUCAUCUCUUCUAAUAUAAACAGUUUCAAAGCAGGCCACCAGUUUUUACGCACGGAGCGGCUGUUUUAUCUUGUUGAGGGGCAUGUUAGCAAUACACGCUCUUGUUCUGCAGAGAGGGGCUCUUGAGGACUCAGGAUCCUCCUGGUCUGCACAAUGUUCAUUUUCCUGUUGCUGACUCCCUCCCACCACUUCAGACCAAGGAGUUCAUGAACCUUCUCCGGAUCAUCAGGGCUCGGUGCGAUCAACUGUGAAGCAUUAGCUCUAAAUAUACAACUGGGAGGCCAGUUCUGCUUCAACAAACUAAAGCUCAUCGCCAAGGAUGAUAAAGCACCGAAUGCAAUUUGCAAGGAAAACUUAAAUAACAAUCCAAAUAAGCCGGAGUAAGUGGGGGCUAAGCCAUGUUUUACCUUUUGGAGAUGGCUCAAGUUAGGGGCAAACUGGCAGGAGGUUCAGCAACCAGCUUUUGUCCUUAUUUAUGAAGCUAAACGCAAAGCUCGUUCUGAUUUAUUUACUUGUUUAGGUGAUUUUUGGCAAGUCAACACAUGUUCCUGGUGCAAAUCCUCAGUGCGUGGACAGAUAAUUGAAAAACAGCUGCAGCGAGCCAAGAGACCCAGAAUUCAACUUGUACAAGGAAAAUAAACAGGUCAGUAGAAGAACCUAAGUUCACGAUCAGAGCAACAUCUCAGCCCAUAGCUUUCUCCUCGCUAAGUAAAACACAUCUUACUCUUUUAAUCUACACAUUUUACUGCUUUAAUCUACUUGUGCUUCAGUAACCCAAUAAUUCUCAGAAGUAUUCAGAGCAAGAGGGAAUGUGCUGGUGUCACGUUCUUUGUCAACAGCUGUAAAGUAGAUGUGCACCCAACCACUCUUUGGUGGUGGUGCCAGAUAUUGCUUUACCCAAAUAGGAACACCAAGCCCUUCCUAAGAAUUUUUUUGAAGAUGUUAUUAAGCGUUUGAUUUUUGGCACGGCUCUCAAAGCUGUUUGUUGAAAAAGAAAGCAAUACUGCAAAUACUUCCCAUCAGAAAAUACCGACAAGCAACUUAUCAUAACUGCAGCAGAGCUAACGACGUUUCCACCGAGUGGUUUUUGGCACUGACAGCUGACUCGGAACAGUUGUUGGUGGCUGGGACAGAUGGACUUCAUACAUUGAAAAAAAAUAGGGAAAUGAGAACUUCUACGCUGUAGAUUUGGAAAAGCCUUUUGCAAAAUCCAAUGUAUUACCAAAACCUCAGAAUUAAAUCAAAAGUGAGAUUUGAGUACAUUGAGCAUUUAAACUGAUGGUGCCAGGUACCUGCUGGAUCUCCCCAUCAAGGGCUAUAAGGUAUCACCAUGUUUGGUUUUCAACAGGAAAUACCUGAGAGUUUUGGGAAGGGUCCACAGCUUUGCCCUUUGUCCACCAUGUGAAAUCCUCAGGAUCCAAAUGUUUGUUUCCACAGGGAAACUUGCAACAGAGACCUCGAGGUAGGACAUAACCUUGAUGUCAAGCCCCACUUGCCAUCCCUGAUGCCAGUAGCUUCCACUAAUAUAAUUAUGACCAUGGCAUUUCCCUGAUGAGCAGAAUCUUUAGAUGCUUUUAGUGCCUCGAGCUGUGUAUGCACUGAACACUCCAUGCUUCACUGGCUCCUGUUUCCUGGCAAUGUUUUAAGGCCGUGAAGAACAGGGUCCGUGGUGGCAAGGAUAUUGUAGGAGGAGGCAAUCCCUGCUCCACAGCACUUUAGUCUAAGCAGCACCUUCUAGUCUAAAGCUUACAGGUCAAAGUUUUGCAGCUUGGGAUCUCAGCAUCUUGUUGGCUUUAUCAGCUUCCUUUUGUGCCUUUUUUUCCCCCAAGUAGUCAGCUGGUAUCAAACGCAUCCUUGUGAUCUCACUCCUGUCUCACUAUCCAGCACCGACCCUGCAGACGUCAGUAUGUGUUUAAUUUUACACAGUGUAACCUUAACUUGGUGCGAUGCCCCUCUGUAUUUGAAGUCAAGUGUAGUGGAGCAAACCUAUUUAUUCUCAGCCUCACUUCUGCCUGCUCUUUUGGGCUUAUGACCCCAAAUUUUAAACCAGCUGGAAAUCAGGAUCAGGCACUCCGACUCGACCAGAACCUGUUGUAUUUAAACAGAGAACAAACCCUGGUACCACUUGGUUUAUUCACUAGCUAAACUACUCAGGCAGAGGUGUCAAACGAGUGGUAUUUGCCCGUGUUUAGCAACUUUUGCCUGUUUAAAGAAAUGUGGAAGCAUCUAUAGUUCAUUUCCAGUCUUGCUAUCUUAAGGCCAGGUUCAACAAGACACCAAAGCACCGCUCACCUAACAGAGGAGGGAAAGGGGGUGCUUCUCUACCUUGCAGCCCAACUGUAAGGAAAAGUUGUGUUAAAUCUGUUACUUUUCUCAUUCAAAGGGAGCACCCAAACCCAGAGUGAGCACCUGAAGAUGCUCCGGGAUUAGGCACAACUUCUGCUUGAAGUGUUUCUGCUACAAACCAUGGAGAAGCAAGUGAACAACAGACCCUGCAGCGCGUGAUAACCCUCUCCCCAUGGCAGGCGUGUCAGAAUCAUCUUCUCACGCCUCUGCUCGCUCUUUUGAUAACUAGUGCCCAAAUCUCACUUUAUAUGAGGCCCAAGAGGCUCUUGCAAGUUAUUUGGAACAUUGUUUUGUCCUGAGAUAAACUGUUUGAAAUAUUUCAAUACACUUCAGUCUUGAGUUGACCCAGAA